rnacentral:rRNA from 1 species
CCUACGGGGGGCAGCAGUGAGGAAUAUUGGUCAAUGGGCUAAGGCCUGAACCAGCCAAGUCGCGUGAGGGAAGACGGUCCUAUGGAUUGUAAACCUCUUUUGUCGGGGAGCAACGAGGCCACGUGUGGCCGAAGUGAGAGUACCCGAAGAAAAAGCAUCGGCUAACUCCGUGCCAGCAGCCGCGGUAAUACGGAGGAUGCGAGCGUUAUCCGGAUUUAUUGGGUUUAAAGGGUGCGUAGGCGGAACAUUAAGUCAGCGGUAAAAUCGAGGGGCUCAACCCCUUUAAGCCGUUGAAACUGGUGAUCUUGAGUGGGCGAGAAGUAUGCGGAAUGCGUGGUGUAGCGGUGAAAUGCAUAGAUAUCACGCAGAACUCCGAUUGCGAAGGCAGCAUACCGGCGCCCGACUGACGCUGAGGCACGAAAGCGUGGGGAU